rnacentral:rRNA from 1 species
UACGUAGGGGGCAAGCGUUGUCCGGAUUUAUUGGGCGUAAAGAGCGUGUAGGCGGCCAGGUAGGUCGGCUGUGAAAACUCGAGGCUCAACCUCGAGAUGUCGGCCGAAACCAUCUGGCUAGAGUCCGGAAGAGGAGAGUGGAAUUCCCGGUGUAGCGGUGAAAUGCGCAGAUAUCGGGAAGAACACCCGUGGCGAAGGCGGCUCUCUGGGACGGUACUGACGCUGAGACGCGAAAGCGUGGGGAGCAAACAGG